rnacentral:rRNA from 1 species
GAUGAACGCUAGCGGCAGGCUUAACACAUGCAAGUCGAGGGGUAUAGUAGCAAUACUAGAGACCGGCGCACGGGUGCGUAACGCGUAUGCAAUCUACCUUUUGCAGAGGGAUAGCCCAGAGAAAUUUGGAUUAAUACCUCAUAGUAUAAUAUCUUGGCAUCAAGGAAUUAUUAAAGUCACAACGGCAAAAGAUGAGCAUGCGUCCCAUUAGUUAGUUGGUAAGGUAACGGCUUACCAAGACUACGAUGGGUAGGGUCCUGAGAGGGAGAUCCCCCACACUGGUACUGAGACACGGACCAGACUCCUACGGGAGGCAGCAGUGAGGAAUAUUGGACAAUGGGCGCAAGCCUGAUCCAGCCAUGCCGCGUGCAGGAUGACGGUCCUA